AGAAUCCGUCCAUGAUGAUCUAGAGUCAGUCAUUUCUAAUGGAGAAAGUGCCAGUUAUGGUCAGUUUACCGAAUUGGUUCGACUUUUUGAGGGAGACAGGAUGCAUGAUCUCAUCAUUCGAAGGUUUCUUUCGGGUUUGGGUUCGAUCGGCGAAUUUACCAGAGUCUUCGCCGUUCACAGGAACACGUAUUCUGGCAUCAUGGGGCAAGCCAGGAUGCAAUCGUUUCAAAUUUUCGUAAAAGCAAUGGAGAAGCAGCGCGGUGGUAAUGCAAAUGUGAAGUAUGCUUGGUUUGGCGCUACAGCAGACGAGAUAUGCAACAUAAUGAAGAAUGGUUUUGGU
rnacentral:misc_RNA from 1 species